rnacentral:rRNA from 1 species
CUUGAUGGCGACCGGCGCACGGGUGAGUAACACGUAUCCAACCUGUCGAUGACUCGGGGAUAGCCUUUCGAAAGAAAGAUUAAUACCCGAUGGCAUAGUUCUUCCGCAUGGUAGAACUAUUAAAGAAUUUCGGUCAUCGAUGGGGAUGCGUUCCAUUAGGUUGUUGGCGGGGUAACGGCCCACCAAGCCUUCGAUGGAUAGGGGUUCUGAGAGGAAGGUCCCCCACAUUGGAACUGAGACACGGUCCAA